AUUUACACUCCAGUCCAGCUUUGUGGCGGUAAUGAACCUUUUGUUUGCCAACCGCCAUUUUAGAAAUGACAGAAUAAGUCUUAUUUUCGUGGACAGAUUUGGGGCAGAGUAAAGCAAUGGAGUAAUGCAAACGAUACUGUAAUCCCUCUCGCUUCGCCGCUUCCUCUCUACUGAAACAUAUUAUUCAUAUUUACCAUAUUGGAUAAUUAUUUUGGUUAAUUGCUGCAAAAUAUAUUUUACGAUACUGUUAUUUUCCUGGAAAAGAUAGGAGAAUGGCUGCUGCUGAGGUGAACAGUAGUUCUGCUCCGGUGAUGGAGGAAAAGGAGCCUAUGGAAGUCACCGCCGAAAGCGAGCACACAGAGAACUACCAGACACUCAUCGAUGCCGGACUGCCGCAGAAAGUGUCUGAGAGUCUCGACAAAAUAUUCUCAACCGGGUUGCUGGCGUACGCUGACCUAGACGAGAGGGCCAUCGAUGCUCUGCGGGCGUUCAAUGAAGAAGGAGCGUUGUCUAUACUGUCGCAGUUCAAAGAAAGUGACCUGACCCAUGUCCAGAACAAAAGUGCUUUUAUUUGUGCAGCUAUGAAGACGUACAGACAGAGGGAAAAGCAAGGAAGGAAAGUACAAGAAUCCACUAAGGGUCCUGCCGAGUCCAAGAUCAAGGCUCUGCUGGAGAGGACAGGAUACACCCUGGACGUCACCACCGGACAGAGGAAAUACGGAGGGCCCCCACCAGAGGAAGUGUUUAAAGGAGCACAGCCUGGGAUUGGAACUGAGGUGUUUGUGGGAAAGAUCCCCAGAGACCUGUAUGAAGACGAGCUGGUGCCUCUGUUUGAGCAGGCGGGCCCAAUCUGGGACCUGAGGUUAAUGAUGGACCCACUGUCGGGUCAGAACCGGGGCUACGCCUUCAUUAACUUCUGCAGCAAGGAUGCAGCAGCUGAGGCGGUGAAACUUUGUGACAACUAUGAAAUCCGGUCUAGGAAAUACCUUGGAGUGUGCAUAUCUGUAGCAAACAACCGCCUGUUUGUCGGAUCAAUCCCAAAGAACAAGACCAGGGAGAGCAUAUUGGAGGACUUCAGCAAAGUCACAGAGGGGCUUCAGGAAGUGAUCCUCUACCACCAGCCGGAUGACAAGGAGAUUAACCGUGGCUUCUGUUUCCUGGAGUAUGAGGACCACAAGUCUGCAGCCCAGGCCCGCCGCUGCCUCAUGAGUGGCAAGGUGAUGGUGUGGGGGAACCCGGUCACUGUGGAGUGGGCCAACCCGGUCACUGAGCGCGACACGGAUGUCAUUGCCAAUGCGAAGGUCUUGUUUGUCAGGAAGCUGGCCAACUCAGUCACAGAGGAGCUACUAGUGAAGACCUUCUCUGCCUUUGGCAAACUGGAGCGGGUGUAUAAGCUCAAAGACUACGCCUUUGUCCACUUUGAGGACAGGGACGCAGCUGUGAAGGCAAUGGCAGAAAUGAAUGGGAAGGAGCUGGGGGGAGAGGAGAUUGAAAUAAGAAUAGCAAAGAAGAAGAAGGCGCGGAAGACUCAGCGCCAGACCACCAGAAACCCAGGGAAUGAUGACGAUUACAACCACCAACGGCCACGCAUGCCUCCACCAGAUAGGGGCAGGGGCCGUGGUGGCCGAGGGGGCGGGGGCUACGCUGCAUACCCCCCAGACUACCACAGCUACGAUGACCACUACGGCUAUGACUAUCACGACCCCUGCAGGGGUUACGAGGACCCCUACUACGGUUACGAGGACCCCUACUACGGUUACGAGGACCCCUACUACGGUUACGAGGACCCCUACUACGGUUACGAUGACGUGUACAGCAUGAAGGGCCGUGGCAGCAGGCCCAGCAGGGGAGGCCCGCCCCCACCCAGGGCCCGUAGAGCACCACCCACCCAGGGCCGAGGGGGCUAUGCGCAGAGGGGGCCACCCAUCAGAGGGCCCAGGGGUAGCAGAGGAGGGGGCCAUGGGGGACUCUUCCAGCCACAGAGGGCCCACAGUACCCGAGGAGCCAGGGGGAACCGCGGAGGCAAUGUGGGUGGGAAGAGAAAGGCAGACGUCUUCAACCAGCCUGAUUCAAAGCGCCGGCAGACCAACAAGCAGAACUGGGGGUCCCAGCCCAUCGCCCAGCAGGAAGGUGGCGACUAUUCCGAUAACUAUGGUUAAGGUAAUGACACCCUGGAGUUUUCGCAGGAUUCUUAUGGGCGUCGCUGGAAGUAGACACAUGAAAAAGGUGGUGAAGUGAGAGCAGCAGCGCUUGAGUGAGGAACAAACUCACCCUGAACUUUGUACCUUUUAUAAAAUGGUGAGCUAUUACUAGUCGUUUGUAGGCCAAACCGUGCUGACUACAGAUGAUUUCGUGAGAAGACCAAUUUCCGAGAUGUCUCCUGGUCUGACAAACACUGCUGUAGCUCUGCGCCACCUUCCACUGCGGAUGCACUGGAUUGAGACGCGACCCAUGCCCCCCAAAAAAAGUAUCUAGUUUAAACGGAUGGAUUUUAAUGGUAAUUUUGUUGUUUAUUUGAUUAUUAUGCUAAUUGCACAGUGCGGACUGCAGAAGCAACUCACCCAACUUCUCAACUUUUCCAGAGCAGGCUUUAAACUGCAAUUUCAUUGCCUUUGCCAAGUCAAUUUGCUUGCCUUGCAUAUGCCAUUCAAUGUGUGUUUUCUCAACUAUUAUGAUAAAGAUUUUUGAGAUAUGUCAGCUAAAAUAACCAGUGAUCAUGCUCCACAUCUCUGGCCUUCUUUUUUACCUGCAAGUCAAGAACAACAAUAAAACAUUCCCGUGAAGGGUUUACAAAC